rnacentral:rRNA from 1 species
GAUGAACGCUAGCUACAGGCUUAACACAUGCAAGUCGAGGGGCAGCAUUCCAGUUUGCUUGCAAACUGGAGAUGGCGACCGGCGCACGGGUGAGUAACACGUAUCCAACCUGCCGAUAACUCGGGGAUAGCCUUUCGAAAGAAAGAUUAAUACCCGAUGGCAUAAUAGAACCGCAUGGUUUGAUUAUUAAAGAAUUUCGGUUAUCGAUGGGGAUGCGUUCCAUUAGGCAGUUGGUGGGGUAACGGCCCACCAAACCUUCGAUGGAUAGGGGUUCUGAGAGGAAGGUCCCCCACAUUGGAACUGAGACACGGUCCAAACUCCUACGGGAGGCAGCAGUGAGGAAUAUUGGUCAAUGGACGAGAGUCUGAACCAGCCAAGUAGCGUGAAGGAUGACUGCCCUAUGGGUUGUAAACUUCUUUUAUAUGGGAAUAAAGUGGUCCACGUGUGGAUUUUUGUAUGUACCAUAUGAAUAAGGAUCGGCUAACUCCGUGC